GAUGAACGCUGGCGGCGUGCCUAACACAUGCAAGUCGAACGGAGUUAUUAUUAUGAAGUUUUCGGAUGGAUUAAUAAUAACUUAGUGGCGGACGGGUGAGUAACGCGUGGGUAACCUGCCUCAUACAGGGGGAUAACAGUUGGAAACGGCUGCUAAAACCGCAUAACAUUGCGAUGUCGCAUGACAAUGCAAUUAAAUAUUUAUAGGUAUGAGAUGGGCCCGCGUCUGAUUAGCUAGUUGGUGGGGUAAUGGCCUACCAAGGCGACGAUCAGUAGCCGGCUUGAGAGAGUGACCGGCCACAUUGGGACUGAGACACGGCCCAAACUCCUACGGGAGGCAGCAGUGGGGAAUAUUGCACAAUGGGGGAAACCCUGAUGCAGCGACGCCGCGUGAGUGAAGAAGUAUUUCGGUAUGUAAAGCUCUAUCAGCAGGGAAGAAAAUGACGGUACCUGACUAAGAAGCCCCGGCUAACUACGUGCCAGCCGCCGCCGUAA
rnacentral:rRNA from 1 species